ACGGUAUGGAGGCGCAUUUGGCUUGGAGGCUUAAAGGGGGUGUACAGUGUUUCUGAGGAGGGCGAGGGGUUGACGGAGCGCGGCGACGCAGGCCGCUCCGACCCCCGGAUCCCAGCCCUGGAAAACUGCGUGGCAGGAGAAGAUUUAAGUAAUCUGUACACCCAACGUGGGGCUCGAACUCACAACUCCGAGAUCAAGAGUUGCACCCUCUACAGACUGAGCCAGCCAAGCACUCCGUGGAUGUUACUUUUAAGCUAUCUCUGGCUCCCAGGCCCUUCCACGUGGCUGCAACAUCAUGGCCCUAGACUGUACCGCUGGAGCCACUGCUUUUUCGCUCUGUUUCAGGCUUCACUUCUAAAACCAUCCUCAGGACCCUGACUCCAUGGAGCUUACAUUCCAGUGAGAGAGAAGGCAGUAAACAAGUAAACUGAUGAAUAGGAUGGUUUCAAAAUAAAAGGGGUGAUGGGGAACACUUGGUUGAGUACUCAGAGAAGGCCUCCGGGUAGAGAACAGCAAGGGCAUCAUUGGCAAUCCUGUCACCUUCAGGGGACUUCUUUAAUGUCUUGGCUGAUACACUGUCCACCUCACAGGGUUGUUGUGGGGAGUAAAUGAGAUGAUAUUCAUGUAAAGUGAGUAGAACGAUGCCUGGAGCACAAUAUGUGCUCUAUAAGUCUUGAUUGUCACCAUUUACUAACAGACUACUUUGCCCCAUUAUUCAAGGUUUAUAUGUGAUAGGAUAUUCUCUCAGCUAGAUGUGAAUCCCUGAAAGCUCAAAUUUCAUCUUUUCUUUUCCUUCAUUCAUUAUGAAUUCAUAUGAAGAUUCUUCUGAAUGCCAAGCACAGUGCUAAGCCCUGGGGAAUAUAGAUAUGACUAAGGUAUAAUGCUAGCACUCAACAAAGAAUCUUCUAGAAUCCUCUAGAUCUUUCUAAUCCUCUAGAAUUGAACAUUUCUAUGAAAUGUUUGCAUUAUUUUUAUCUUCCAACACUCUGUAAUCACUUGGUUUUUCAUUGGAAUUCAUGAAAACGAGGAGUUUCUUUCCAA